AAUUUCUGGUGUUUAUGAGGUUAGUGCUGUGGAGAUUGCUGAAAGAGUCGUCUUUCGCUAUCGACGUAGUAGGUAGCGAAAGACGACUCUUUCAGCAAUCUCCACAGCACUACCCUCAUAAACACCA
rnacentral:pre_miRNA from 1 species